GAUGAACGCUGGCGGCGUGCCUAACACAUGCAAGUCGAACGGGCGCGGCGUGCGGCAGGGGCCUCGGCCUCUGCGGCGUCGCGCGAGUGGCGGACGGGUGAGUAACGCGUGGGCAACCUGCCCUGUACUGGGGGAUAACACCUGGAAACAGGUGCUAAUACCGCAUAAGCGCGCUGUGCCGCAUGGCACGGCGCGGAAAACCCCGGUGGUACAGGAUGGGCCCGCGUCUGAUUAGCUGGUUGGCAGGGUAACGGCCUACCAAGGCGACGAUCAGUAGCCGGCCUGAGAGGGUGGACGGCCACACUGGGACUGAGACACGGCCCAG
rnacentral:rRNA from 1 species